GACGAACGCUGGCGGCGUGCCUAAUACAUGCAAGUCGAGCGAAGUUUUUCUGGUGCUUGCACUAGAAAAACUUAGCGGCGAACGGGUGAGUAACACGUAAAGAACCUGCCUCAUAGACUGGGACAACUAUUGGAAACGAUAGCUAAUACCGGAUAACAGCAUUAACUGCAUGGUUGAUGUUUGAAAGUUGGUUUUGCUAACACUAUGAGAUGGCUUUGCGGUGCAUUAGCUAGUUGGCGGGGUAAAGGCCUACCAAGGCGACGAUGCAUAGCCGACCUGAGAGGGUGAUCGGCCACACUGGGACUGAGACACGGCCCAGACUCCUACGGGAGGCAGCAGUAGGGAAUCUUCCGCAAUGGGCGAAAGCCUGACGGAGCAACGCCGCGUGAGUGAAGAAGGAUUUCGGUUCGUAAAGCUCUGUUGUUAAGGAAGAAUGAUUGUGUAGUAACUAUACACAGGAGAGACGGUACCCUACCAGAAAGCCCCGGCUAACUACGUGCCACCAGCCGGCGUAAUACGUAUGUGGCAAGCGUUGUCCCGAAUUAUUGGGCGUAAAACGCGCGCCAGUGGUUAAUAAGUCCGAUGUGAAAGCCACGGCUCCACCCUGGGAGGGUCAUUGGAAACUGUUAAACUUGAGUGCAGGAGAGAAAAGUGGAAUUCCUAGUGUAGCGGUGAAAUGCGUAAAAAUUAGGAGGAACACCAGUGGCGAAGGCGGCUUUUUGGCCUGUAACUGACACUGAGGCGCGAAAGCGUGGGGAGCAAACAGGAUUAGAUACCCUGGUAGUCCACGCCGUAAACGAUGAGUGCUAAGUGUUGGUCUCAUAAGAGAUCAGUGCUGCAGCUAACGCAUUAAGCACUCCGCCUGGGGAGUACGACCGCUAGGUUGAAACUCAAAGGAAUUGACAGGGACCCGCACAAGCGGCGGAGCAUGUGGUUUAAUUCUAAGCAACGCGAAGAACCUUACCAAGUCUUGACAUACUGUGAGGACACAAGAGAUUGUGUUGUUCUGACCUUUGGUUAGACACAGAUACAGGUGGUGCAUGGUUGUCGUCAGCUCGUGUCGUGAGAUGUUGGGUUAAGUCCCGCAACGAGCGCAACCCUUAUAUCUAGUUGCCAGCAGUAAGAUGGGGACUCUAGAUAGACUGCCAGUGAUAAACUGGAGGAAGGUGGGGAUGACGUCAAAUCAUCAUGCCCCUUAUGACUUGGGCUACACACGUGCUACAAUGGAUAGGAACAAAGAGAAGCGAGCUCGCGAGAGUAAGCAAACCUCACAAAACUAUUCUCAGUUCGGAUUGUAGUCUGCAACUCGACUACAUGAAGCUGGAAUCGCUAGUAAUCGCGAAUCAGAAUGUCGCGGUGAAUACGUUCCCGGGUCU
rnacentral:rRNA from 1 species